AUUGAACGCUGGCGGCAGGCCUAACACAUGCAAGUCGAACGGUAACAGGGAUCAGCUUGCUGAUUCGCUGACGAGUGGCGGACGGGUGAGUAAUGUCUGGGAAACUGCCUGAUGGAGGGGGAUAACUACUGGAAACGGUAGCUAGUACCGCAUAACGUCGCAAGACCAAAGAGGGGGACCUUCGGGCCUCUUGCCAUCGGAUGUGCCCAGAUGGGAUUAGCUAGUAGGUGGGGUAACGGCUCACCUAGGCGACGAUCCCUAGCUGGUCUGAGAGGAUGACCAGCCACACUGGAACUGAGACACGGUCCAGACUCCUACGGGAGGCAGCAGUGGGGAAUAUUGCACAAUGGGCGCAAGCCUGAUGCAGCCAUGCCGCGUGUAUGAAGAAGGCCUUCGGGUUGUAAAGUACUUUCGGCGGGGAGGAAGGGAGUAAAGUUAAUACCUUGGCUCAUUGACGUUACCCGCAGAAGAAGCACCGGCUAACUCCGUG
rnacentral:rRNA from 1 species